CGCGUAGGCGGACCUUCAAGUCGGAUGUGAAAACCCCAGGCUUAACUUGGGGCCUGCAUCCGAUACUGUCGGUCUUGAGUACAUGAGAGGAAAGCGGAAUUCCAGGUGUAGCGGUGAAAUGCGUAGAUAUCUGGAAGAACACCAGUAGCGAAGGCGGCUUUCUGGCGUGAUACUGACGCUGAAGCGCGAAGGCUAGGGGAGCAAACA
rnacentral:rRNA from 1 species